CCGGGGAUAACAGGCUUAUCUCCCCCAAGAGUUCACAUCGACGGGGAGGUUUGGCACCUCGAUGUCGGCUCAUCGCAUCCUGGGGCUGUAGUCGGUCCCAAGGGUUGGGCUGUUCGCCCAUUAAAGCGGUACGCGAGCUGGGUUCAGAACGUCGUGAGACAGUUCGGUCCCUAUCCGUCGUGGGCGUAGGAAAUUUGAGAGGAGCUGUCCUUAGUACGAGAGGACCGGGAUGGACAUACCUCUGGUGUACCAGUUGUCGUGCCAACGGCAUAGCUGGGUAGCUAUGUGUGGACGGGAUAAGUGCUGAAAGCAUCUAAGCAUGAAGCCCCCCUCAAGAUGAGAUUUCCCAACUUCGGUUAUAAGAUCCCUCAAAGAUGAUGAGGUUAAUAGGUUCGAGGUGGAAGCAUGGUGACAUGUGGAGCUGACGAAUACUAAUCGAUCGAAGACUUAAUCAA
rnacentral:rRNA from 1 species